CUCUCCAGGGACAUCAUGCGUCACAGAGCAGGGAAGAGGGGGUGGUGAAGGCAGGCAUGAGCAGGUAGGAGAAUGUCACCCUGAUGCUGAUGUCAUAGGGCAGAACUGGGGAUCAAGAGACUAGACGUCAAGGCAUGGAAAGGGUCAGGUGACCGCCAUGCCCUUCUCACCUCCUGCUCCGGGGGACAUGGACGGCCCCAUCUAGCCAACAGGAGAACUGUUUACAUGGAAUCCAAGUGCCCUGCCACGGGCAGAACACGUUUUUCCACAGCUGCAGAGAAAGAUGAGUAAGUCAAGGCUGAAUAACAAAAAGCCACUUCAAAAACACACCAGAAGAAGUACGAAGUUGAGACAAUCACAGGGCAAUAGAUCCCAUAGAAGAGGAACCAGGAGUUGGAGGUAUUGGCUCAAGUCCUACUGACUGUCAUUCAGUUGCCAUGAGACUUUAGGAAAACCUCUCAAACCUGGGGCUGGUAGCUGAAGGCUGGGGCUAUACUCUCUGGAAGCUGAAACUUAAAAUCUGUCCUGGAUGAAGACCUACCACUGCCCCCCAGUGAAGAUCAUUGAGACCAUGGGAGGCCACGACAGCCAUCUAGGUAGUGGGUACUGGGAUUAAAGGCAUUUGUCACUUUGCUUAGACAGAGGACAACUUUGUGGAGUCAGAUCUCCCCUUCCAUCUUUUCACGGAUUCCAGGGGCUGAACUCAGGAUGCUAGGCUUACAUGGCCACCAUGGGCACCUGCAUGGCUCAUCUAAAGGUGAGAGGGCAAAGGUAAACGGUGUGGGACAGCCACUUCUCUCUGAACAGAGAAUGUGCCACUCAGCCUUGGGACAUAUUUUCUUACGGAGGAUCAAGUUGUGUGAACUCAGAUCGCACUUUUCUGGUCUUCAAUCCUACAGCCACAGAAAUAAAGAACUGUCUUAAGCACUGAGCACUGAGUCUCUGGGCCUUGCUACAUUACUUUUGAGGCCAGUCCUCAAUGUUGCUUUUGUGGAAAAGCAACAAGGUCAAGGAAAGGCGGGCUCCAUGGAAAAAGAAAAAUACAAGAAAAGGGAGUAAAAUUUUUUUCAGAAAUGUAGUGAGGAAGUUGGUGAGAGAACGUACAAAAGGAAGCACCAUGAGUUAAGUGCUAGCUCCUGCCUAUGAGGAACCACAGACCAGGAGACACCAGCUGACUUCUAGCUGGUUCUCAACUUUCCUAUCUCCUCCUUAUCAGUGCGUUGAUGGAGGAGCCAAAAGACGCUUAUCCCACUGGGCUGACAUCACUGGGAGUCCCGAUCCUGACCCUCUGCAAGAAUGGGAAAGAGGACUGUUUUACUCUAAUUAGCAAAUCCUUGCUGCUCUGACUCACAGAUCUGGUCUUAGCCAGCAGUGGGCAAUGGAAUGGAAUGAGACCUGAAGGCAGAAACUGUCGGUGGUUAGAGCAGCCACCCAGGGAAGCAGGUACGACGAUCUGCAGGAGUCAGAGUCAUCGGUAACCUUAAACAUGGAAAGCCCGUUUCUCAACACAGAAAAUGAUUAGAAAACAUUUUCAAUCCAGACCACAUACAAACUUUUGGAACACAAAGUGGGUUCCAAAAAAAAAAAAAAAAAAUUGUGCCAAUAUUUGAAGGUGCCAAAAUAUUGUUAACAGUUAAAAAUUUUAACAAGUGUACUUUUUUUUCUUUAAGAUCUCAUACAAUGUUUAAUCAAAGAUGUUACAGGUCAGCACAAGACCAGGUGGACAAACAUACAUGUAAGUCUAUUAAUUCCACCAUGUUCCAGGCACAGGUCAUUGUUGAUUUGAGUUUAACAUGUACUCUUUAAGCUUUAAGUAUAA